rnacentral:rRNA from 1 species
GGAGUUAGCCGGUGCUUCUUCUGCGAGUAACGUCACAGAUGUAAGGUAUUAACUUACACCCUUUCCUCCUCGCUGAAAGUGCUUUACAACCCGAAGGCCUUCUUCACACACGCGGCAUGGCUGCAUCAGGGUUUCCCCCAUUGUGCAAUAUUCCCCACUGCUGCCUCCCGUAGGAGUCUGGGCCGUGUCUCAGUCCCAGUGUGGCUGAUCAUCCUCUCAGACCAGCUAGGGAUCGUCGCCUAGGUGAGCCUUUACCUCACCUACUAGCUAAUCCCACCUGGGCUUAUCCAUCAGCGCAAGGCCCGAAGGUCCCCUGCUUUCCCCCGUAGGGCGUAUGCGGUAUUAGCAGUCGUUUCCAACUGUUAUCCCCCACAAAUGGGCAAAUUCCCAGGCAUUACUCACCCGUCCGCCGCUCGUCAUCUUCAAAAGCAAGCUUUUGAAAUGUUACCGCUCGACUUGCAUGUGUUAGGCCUGCCGCCAGCGUUCAAUCUGAGCCAGAAAUCGAACCCUGA